rnacentral:misc_RNA from 1 species
UUUCCGUAGGUGAACCUGCGGAAGGAUCAUUAUUGUGUAACCAAGUUUCGAGGGCUGUCGGUUACCCUAAAGGUCGUACACGCCCGAUAGCCCUCACCCACACCCUUCUCGCCCCUAUGGGCACCACCGCGUGGGUCCCCCUUUUGUUUGUUCGGAGGUGGGCGUACAUUUUCACACAAACUUUGUAUGAAGUUUAGAAUGUAUUUUUUGUUUUUACGAUCACGCAAUCAAUACAACUUUCAACAACGGAUCUCUUGGCUCUC